UGGCUCUGAAAAGUCUGACCUGCUCUGGCGCCCUCCGCUUUCACUUUGGCUUUGGCUGAAUUCUUGGGUCAGGACCCAAAUCCUCACGGGGCUAGCAUGGGCCCAGGGGGUCGAACUCCUGGCAGCCCCUCUAAGAGCGAGGCCCAGGGUCACGGUUUUCCCCGGACGCUCCUCUUAGGUUACCAUGGUUACCGUUGCCCCAGUGCACUUGCGGUGUUUAGCCAAACCCUGAUGAGAGUUUAGUCUGCAGAAAAGCAAGCAGGAUCAGAAGAAACAAGUGUCGCAACAGGAGAGAGUCUGGUUAGACCAAAGAAAGAACUUCCAGCUGUGAGGAUGUCCCAGAAAGGAGGGAAGGUGAAGUAACCAGCCCGCUGUGGAUCGGAUGCUUCCGUUACGUUACUGCCUGCUGUCCUGGUGUAGGAAUGGCUGCCUGGAACACUCCUUCCACUAGUCCGCUAUGCCAACUCACCUGAUGUCCAGACCGGAAAGUGCCAGCCAUAUUCUCCACAUCGAUAUGUGCUAUGGUGCCAAACACCAGAAGUAUUUGCAGAGCGGAGGGAAAACAAGGUUUGAAUUAAACAAAACCGGAAGCCAGACUGUGAAAAAAUUCGAACCCUUCAUUGUGUCAAAUUGUAAGUGGAGAUUCUGUUCCUAUCGAUGCCUUCAAAACUGAAGUUCUCUCUGACCAGGGAGAGACCCAGUAAUGCAGCAUAUAUAAUUAUAAACACGUUAUGCAUCUCAUCAGAGAAAAAACUGCCUUGAGAGGACCUAGACUUUGUGUCUUCUUCUGUUUUUCCAACAGUGAUACAUUCUCUUUUUGCAUUCCUCUCAUAGAAAAGAGUACUUUAGGGGCUGGCCCUGUGGCCAAGUGGUUAAGUUUGCGUGCUCUGCUUCAGCGGCCCAGGGUGUCGCCAGUUCGG